rnacentral:rRNA from 1 species
GAUGAACGCUGGCGGCGUGCCUAAUACAUGCAAGUCGAGCGAACAGAUGAGGAGCUUGCUCCUCUGACGUUAGCGGCGGACGGGUGAGUAACACGUGGAUAACCUACCUAUAAGACUGGGAUAACUUCGGGAAACCGGAGCUAAUACCGGAUAAUAUAUUGAACCGCAUGGUUCAAUAGUGAAAGACGGUUUUGCUGUCACUUAUAGAUGGAUCCGCGCCGCAUUAGCUAGUUGGUAAGGUAACGGCUUACCAAGGCAACGAUGCGUAGCCGACCUGAGAGGGGGACCGGCCACACUGGAACUGAGACACGGUCCAGACUCCUACGGGAGGCAGCAGUAGGGAAUCUUCCGCAAUGGGCGAAAGCCUGACGGAGCAACGCCGCGUGAGUGAUGAAGGUCUUCGGAUCGUAAAACUCUGUUAUUAGGGAAGACCAAAUGUGUAAGUAACUAUGCACGUCUUGACGGUACCUAAUCAGAAAGCCACGGCUAACUACGUG